rnacentral:rRNA from 1 species
UACGUAGGUGGCGAGCGUUAUCCGGAAUUAUUGGGCGUAAAGAGCGCGCAGGUGGCUGAUUAAGUCUGAUGUGAAAGCCCACGGCUUAACCGUGGAGGGUCAUUGGAAACUGGUCGACUUGAGUGCAGAAGAGGGAAGUGGAAUUCCAUGUGUAGCGGUGAAAUGCGUAGAGAUAUGGAGGAACACCAGUGGCGAAGGCGGCUUCCUGGUCUGUAACUGACACUGAGGCGCGAAAGCGUGGGGAGCAAACAGG